GACGUAGGGGGCAAGCGUUGUUCGGAAUUAUUGGGCGUAAAGCGCUCGUAGGCGGGACAGGAAGUUCGUGUUGAAAGACCUCGGCUCAACUGAGGGACCGGCUCGAAUACUCUUGUUCUUGAGGCAAUCAGAGGGUGAUGGAAUUCCCGGUGUAGCGGUGAAAUGCGUAGAUAUCAUUUGGAACGCCAAUGGUGAAAACAGGUAGCUGGGGCUGUGCUGACACUGAGACACGAAAGCCAGGGGAGCAAACGGG
rnacentral:rRNA from 1 species